AUCCUUUCCUCUUAAGCCUAUAAACAAAUUAGAGUCUGUGAUGUAAUUGGAAGAGACCGUUAUUGACUUGAUCCUAUGUGAGGCAACACUCGGAACUGAGAAACCCUUAGAAUUCAAUUUCGCAUUUGGCAGAGAUGAGAGGAAACAAGUUUUGCUUUGAUUUACGGUACCUUCUCGUCGUGGCUGCUCUCGCCUUCAUCUACAUACAGAUGCGGCUUUUCGUGACACAGUCAGAAUAUGCAGACCGCCUUGCUGCUGCGAUUGAAGCAGAAAAUCAUUGUACAAGUCAGACUAGGUUGCUUAUUGACAAGAUUAGCCAGCAGCAAGGAAGAGUAGUGGCUCUUGAAGAACAAAUGAAGCGCCAGGACCAGGAGUGCCGACAAUUAAGGGCUCUUGUUCAGGAUCUUGAAAGUAAGGGCAUAAAAAAGUUAAUCGGAAAUGUGCAGAUGCCAGUGGCAGCUGUAGUUGUUAUGGCUUGCAGUCGUUCUGACUACCUGGAGAAGACUAUAAAAUCCAUCUUAAAAUACCAAACAUCUGUUGCAUCAAAAUAUCCUCUUUUCAUAUCCCAGGAUGGAUCGAAUCCUGAUGUUAGAAAGCUUGCUUUGAGCUAUGAUCAACUGACGUAUAUGCAGCACUUGGAUUUUGAACCUGUGCAUACUGAAAGACCAGGGGAACUGGUUGCAUACUACAAGAUUGCACGUCAUUACAAGUGGGCAUUGGAUCAGCUGUUUCACAAGCAUAAUUUUAGCCGUGUUAUCAUACUAGAAGAUGAUAUGGAAAUUGCGGCUGAUUUUUUUGACUACUUUGAGGCUGGAGCUACUCUUCUUGACAGAGACAAGUCGAUUAUGGCUAUUUCAUCUUGGAAUGACAAUGGACAAAGGCAGUUCGUCCAAGAUCCUUAUGCUCUUUACCGCUCAGACUUUUUUCCUGGUCUUGGAUGGAUGCUUUCAAAAUCAACUUGGUCCGAACUAUCUCCAAAGUGGCCGAAGGCUUACUGGGAUGACUGGCUGAGGCUCAAAGAAAAUCACAGAGGUCGACAAUUUAUUCGCCCAGAAGUUUGCAGAACGUACAAUUUUGGUGAGCAUGGUUCUAGUUUGGGGCAGUUUUUUAAGCAGUAUCUUGAGCCAAUUAAGCUAAAUGAUGUCCAGGCAUGUUACUAUCUCCCUUGUGUAUUUGUUGCCAUCACCCCUUUUUUCUUGUCUACUCAAUUUUUUUCGUUUGUACAAUAUGUACUCUACCUGGAAUUUUGUGUGAAGGUUGAUUGGAAGUCAAUGGACCUAAGUUACCUUUUGGAGGACAACUAUGUAAAACACUUUGGAGACUUGGUUAAAAAGGCUAAGCCCAUCCAUGGAGCUGAUGCUGUUUUGAAAGCAUUUAACAUAGAUGGUGAUGUGCGUAUUCAGUACAGAGACCAACUAGACUUUGAAGACAUCGCACGACAGUUUGGAAUUUUUGAAGAAUGGAAGGAUGGUGUACCACGGGCAGCAUAUAAAGGAAUAGUAGUUUUCCGGUUUCAAACAUCUAGACGUGUGUUCCUUAUUGCCCCUGAUUCUCUUCAACAACUUGGAGUUGAAGAUACUUAGCAAAGAUAUGAUUGAAGGCUCGGGAAAACAAAAAGAGAACCAGACUUGCAUAACUGCGAUCUAAACAAACCGAUGACCAGUUAUGUUUACAAGGAGCGUGAGCAACAAUUUAGACUUAUUUGGCAGGAUACAUUUGAAAGAGCUGGCACGAAAAGCUUGAUUAGCAGUAGCUGCAUACAACAUUUUAAUGUAAAUGGAAGGAACUCACUGCCUACUGUUGGAGUGGAUGAAAUGUAGCCCCCCAUAAACACAAUGUUUUUCGUUACAACAAAAAGGAGGAAAUGUAGCCCCCCAUAAACACAAUCUUUUUCGUUUCUAAGAAGGAACGUUACGAUUAUGAGCAACUUUGAAGAAAUCUUAGCACGUGACAUUUUAGUUUUGAGAUUUAACCUUAAAAUCACAUUUUAAGUACUCAAACGUGAUUUAUACAUGUCCCAGGCUCUCUUUCUAGACA